CAACCAAAUACGCCGCAUCGUGUCACCCGUAAUGACUGCCCGAAAGGCAGGCGCGGUGAUUAGGAAACGUGGUGAAGCCGCUUUGGCGGCCAGUCCACGGCUCUUUGCCCGCUGCUGUAAGCGUAGGAGUGUGCUGUCCGUGGAGCGAUCCGGUCACUGGGUAACCCCUGGGAAGGCUGGACAGCAGGCGCAGGACCGGUUUUCCGGUUCCCAAUACGCAAGCCAGAAUACCGACGAUGAUCGAACCUGUGGGG
rnacentral:ncRNA from 16 species